GACGAACGCUGGCGGCGUGCCUAAUACAUGCAAGUUGAGCGAUGAAGAUUGGUGCUUGCACCAAUUUGAAGAGCAGCGAACGGGUGAGUAACGCGUGGGGAAUCUGCCUUUGAGCGGGGGACAACAUUUGGAAACGAAUGCUAAUACCGCAUAACAACUUUAAACAUAAGUUUUAAGUUUGAAAGAUGCAAUUGCAUCACUCAAAGAUGAUCCCGCGUUGUAUUAGCUAGUUGGUGAGGUAAAGGCUCACCAAGGUGAUGAUACAUAGCCGACCUGAGAGGGUGAUCGGCCACAUUGGGACUGAGACACGGCCCAAACUCCUACGGGAGGCAGCAGUAGGGAAUCUUCGGCAAUGGACGAAAGUCUGACCGAGCAACGCCGCGUGAGUGAAGAAGGUUUUCGGAUCGUAAAACUCUGUUGGUAGAGAAGAACGUUGGUGAGAGUGGAAAGCUCAUCAAGUGACGGUAACUACCCAGAAAGGGACGGCUAACUACGUG
rnacentral:rRNA from 1 species